rnacentral:rRNA from 1 species
UACGUAGGGGGCAAGCGUUGUCCGGAUUUACUGGGCGUAAAGAGCGUGUAGGCGGCCAAGCAGGUCCGUUGUGAAAACUGGAGGCUUAACCUCCAGACGUCGACGGAAACCGCGUGGCUAGAGUCCGGAAGAGGAGAGUGGAAUUCCUGGUGUAGCGGUGAAAUGCGCAGAUAUCAGGAAGAACACCAAUGGCGAAGGCAGGUCUCUGGGCCAUAACUGACGCUGAGAAGCGAAAGCAUGGGGAGCGAACAGG